AUUGAACGCUGGCGGCAGGCCUAACACAUGCAAGUCGAGCGGAUGAAGGGAGCUGGCUCCUGGAUUCAGCGGCGGACGGGUGAGUAAUGCCUAGGAAUCUGCCUGGUAGUGGGGGAUAACGUCCGGAAACGGGCGCUAAUACCGCAUACGUCCUGAGGGAGAAAGUGGGGGAUCUUCGGACCUCACGCUAUCAGAUGAGCCUAGGUCGGAUUAGCUAGUUGGUGGGGUAAAGGCCUACCAAGGCGACGAUCCGUAACUGGUCUGAGAGGAUGAUCAGUCAUACUGGAACUGAGACACGGUCCAGACUCCUACGGGAGGCAGCAGUGGGGAAUAUUGGACAAUGGGCGAAAGCCUGAUCCAGCCAUGCCGCGUGUGUGAAGAAGGUCUUCGGAUUGUAAAGCACUUUAAGUUGGGAGGAAGGGCAGUAAGUUAAUACCUUGCUGUUUUGACGUUACCAACAGAAUAAGCACCGGCUAACUUCGUG
rnacentral:rRNA from 1 species